rnacentral:rRNA from 1 species
CGCAGCCGCGGUAAUUCCAGCUCCAAUAGCGUAUAUUAAAGUUGUUGCAGUUAAAAAGCUCGUAGUUGAAUUUCGAGAUCAAUUUGUCGGUCGUGCCUCGGUACGUACUGGCAUUAUUGAUUUCUCCCUUCUGAAGAACCGCGAUGUCAUUAAUUUGGUGUCGUGGGGAAUCAGGACUGUUACUUUGAAAAAAUUGAGUGUUUAAAGCAGGCCCACGCUUGAAUACAUUAGCAUGGAAUAAUGAAAUAGGACGUUUGAUUCUAUUUUGUUGGUUUCUAGGAUCGACAUAAUGAUUAAUAGGGAUAGUUGGGGGCAUUAGUAUUCAAUUGUCAGAGGUGAAAUUCUUGGAUUUAUUGAAGACUAACUACUGCGAAAGCAUUUGCCAAGGAUGUUUUCAUUAAUCAAGAACGAGAGUUAGGGGA